UACGUAGGGGGCGAGCGUUGUCCGGAAUUAUUGGGCGUAAAGAGCGUGUAGGCGGUUCGGUAAGUCUGCCGUGAAAACCUGGGGCUCAACCCUGGGCGUGCGGUGGAUACUGCCGGGCUAGAGGGUGGUAGAGGCGAGUGGAAUUCCCGGUGUAGCGGUGAAAUGCGCAGAUAUCGGGAGGAACACCGGUGGCGAAGGCGGGUCUCUGGGCCGAUACUGACGCUGAGGAGCGAAAGCGUGGGGAGCGAACAGG
rnacentral:rRNA from 1 species